rnacentral:rRNA from 1 species
GACGAACGCUGGCGGCGUGCCUAAUACAUGCAAGUAGGACGCAGUUGCGAACGGGUGAUUAACGCGUAGGUAACUACCUAUUAGAGGGGGAUAACUAUUGGAAACGAUAGCUAAUACCGCCUACUGGUAGAUGGACCUGCGUUGUAUUAGGUAGUAGGUAGGGUAAUGGCCUACCUAGGCAACGAUACAUAGCCGAGACGAGGUGGUGAUCGGGCAACAUGGGACUGAGAAACGGCCCAGACUCCUAACGGAGGCAGGAGUAGGGAAUCUUCGGAAAUGGGGGGAACCCUGACCGAGCAACUGCGCGUGAGUGAAGAAGGGUUUCGGAUCGUAAAGCUCUGUUGUUAAGGAAGCGGUACUUAACCAGAAAGGGACGGCUAACUACGUGCCAGCAGCCGCGGUAAUUC